GACGAACGCUGGCGGCGUGCUUAACACAUGCAAGUCGAACGCCCCGCACGGGGUGUGGCAGACUGGGGGGUAACGCGUGGGGACAUACGCUUUUCUACGGCCUAGCUCUGGGAGACAGGAAUUAGUACCGUAUACGCCCUACGGGGGAAAGAGUUAUCGGGGAAGGAUUGGGCCGCGUUGGAUUAGCUAGUUGGUGGGGUAAAGGCCUCCCAAGGCGACGAUCCAUAGCUGGUCUGAGCGGAUGAUCAGCCACAUUGGGACUGAGACACGGCCCAAACUCCUACGGGAGGCAGCAGUGGGGAAUAUUGGACAAUGGGCGCAAGCCUGAUCCAGCCAUGCCGCGUGAGUGAUGAAGGCCUUAGGGUUGUAAAGCUCUUUCACCGAUGAAGAUAAUGACGGUAGUCGGAGAAGAAGCCCCGGCUAACUUCGUG
rnacentral:rRNA from 1 species